CUCAGGAUGAACGCUAGCUACAGGCUUAACACAUGCAAGUCGAGGGGAAACGAUAUUGAAAGCUUGCUUCUUUAGGCGUCGACCGGCGAAUGGGUGAGUAACGCGUAUCCAACCUGCCCCUGAGUAAGGGAUAGCCCAUCGAAAGAUGGAUUAAUACCUUAUGGUUUCCUUUGAAGGCAUCAGAUUAGGAAUAAAGAUUUAUCGCUGAGGGAUGGGGAUGCGUCUGAUUAGCUUGUUGGCGGGGUAACGGCCCACCAAGGCGACGAUCAGUAGGGGUUCUGAGAGGAAGGUCCCCCACAUUGGUACUGAGACACGGACCAAACUCCUACGGGAGGCAGCAGUGAGGAAUAUUGGUCAAUGGGCGCAAGCCUGAACCAGCCAAGUAGCGUGCAGGAUGACUGCCCUAUGGGUUGUAAACUGCUUUUAUACGGGGAUAAAGUCAGAGUCGUGACUCUGUUUGCAGGUACCGUAUGAAUAAGGACCGGCUAAUUCCGUGCCAGCAGCAGC
rnacentral:rRNA from 1 species